GCAGUAGCCGCGGUAAUACGAGGGGGGCAAGCGUUGUUCGGAAUUAUUGGGCGUAAAGGGUGCGUAGGCGGUUUGAUAAGUCUUGUGUGAAAUCUAUGGGCUCAACCCAUAGUCUGCACAGGAAACUGUCGGGCUUGAGAGUGGGAGAGGUGAGUGGAAUUCCGAGUGUAGAGGUGAAAUUCGUAGAUAUUCGGAGGAACACCAGUGGCGAAGGCGGCUCACUGGACCAUUACUGACGCUGAGGUGCGAAAGCGUGGGGAGCAAACAGGAUUAGAUACCCGUGUAGUCCCUGUCUCUUAUAC
rnacentral:rRNA from 1 species